UGGGGAAUAUUGCACAAUGGGCGCAAGCCUGAUGCAGCAACGCCGCGUGAGCGAUGAAGGUCUUCGGAUUGUAAAGCUCUGUCCUAAGGGAAGAAAAAAAUGACGGUACCUUAGGAGGAAGCCCCGGCUAACUACGUGCCAGCAGCCGCGGUAAUACGUAGGGGGCAAGCGUUAUCCGGAAUUACUGGGCGUAAAGAGUGCGUAGGUGGUUUUACAAGCCUUGGGUGAAAGGCUACAGCUCAACUGUAGUAAGCCUUGGGAACUGUAUGACUUGAGUGCAGGAGAGGAGAGCGGAAUUCCUAGUGUAGCGGUGAAAUGCGUAGAUAUUAGGAGGAACACCAGUGGCGAAGGCGGCUCUCUGGACUGUAACUGACGCUGAGGCACGAAAGCGUGGGGAGCGAACAGG
rnacentral:rRNA from 2 species